rnacentral:rRNA from 1 species
AGUGAAUAGAUACCCCGGUAGUCCCAGCUGUAAACGAUGCGCGUUAGGUGUAUCGGUGACCACGAGUCACCGAGGUGCCGAAAGGGAAACCGUGAAACGUGCCGCCUGGGAAGUACGGUCGCAAGGCUGAAACUUAAAGGAAUUGGCGGGGGAGCACCACAACAGGUGGAGCCUGCGGUUUAAAUCGGACUCAACGCCGGGAAGCCCACCGGAUAAGACAGCUGAAUGAUAGCCGGGUUGAAGACUCUGCUUGACUAGCUGAGAGGAGGUGCAUGGCCGUCGUCAGUUCGUACUGUGAAGCAUCCUGUUAAGUCAGGCAACGAGCGAGACCCACGCCAACAGUUGCCAGCAUGUCCUCCGGGAUGGUGGGGACACUGUUGGGACCGCCUCUGCUAAAGAGGAGGAAGGAAUGGGCAACGGUAGGUCAGCAUGCCCCGAAUUAUCCGGGCCACACGCGGGCUACAAUGGUCAGGACAAUGGGUAUCAACACCGAAAGGUGAAGGCAAUCUCCUAAACCUGUCCUUAGUUCGGAUUGUGGGCUGC